GGAAGGAUCAUUUCCGAACAAACAUCAUAUCAACCAACCAUGUGAAAUGUUUUGGGUGUCCUUACUGGAGGGGGUAGCUGGAGUUGUUAUGUGCUGCUUAGGCGGCAUCUAGCUCAUCUCCGAUUUUUUUUACACCUCCAGGCCUUGAUGAACUACCUUGUCACAAAGGUUGAUUUUACAUUUGUCUUUUCAACUUUUAGAAAAGUAAAUGAUAUGACAACUUUUAACGGUGGAUCUCUUGGCUCGUGCAUCGAUGAAGAACGCAGCGAACUGCGAUACGUAAUGUGAAUUGCAGAAUUCAGUGAAUCAUCGAAUCUUCGAACGCAAAUGGCGCUGCAGGGUCCUCCCUGUAGCAUGUCUGUUUGAGUGUCAUUACCUUCCCUCUCAAACCACUUGUUCAUCAUUGCGCAAGUGUGUUUGGGGCUAGCUGUGAGGUGUUGGCUGCGCUUUAGUGAGCAGUUAUCCCUUUAAAGCCAAAGGAAUUGUGUUAUUAGGGAUUAAGCGCCUUAAGAGCAAACAAUUCAAUCCUACCCAAAAGUCCAACGAUCGUCAGAUCGGGGAAGACGUUGGUGUGGUAAAAAACUUUUAUCAUCAGUGUCUUUCAUUUUGGAUGCUUGAGCUGGAUUACCGUUUGUAUUCUUGCUGAAACCUUUGUGAACAAUUUCGACAACCGGGGGUAACUGUAGCACAUACGACGAUAUAUCGUCGUCGUGUGUGUAUAUACAAUUCUCUUUCUUAUUUGACCUCAAAUCAGGCAAGAUUACCCGCUGAACUUAAGCAUAUUAAUAAGCGGAGGAAAAGAAACUAACAAGGAUUCCCUCAGUAACGGCGAGUGAAGCGGGAAUAGCUCAAAUUUGAAAUCUCCAGGGGCAACCUUGGCGAAUUGUAGUUUAGAGAAGCGCUUUCUGGGUAGGACGCUGUCCAAGUUCUUUGGAACGAGGCAUCAGAGAGGGUGAGAAUCCCGUAUCUGGCGGCGUGUUUCCUGCUCUCUACGGGGCGUUUUCGAAGAGUCGGGUUGUUUGGGAAUGCAGCCCAAAAUGGGUGGUAAAUUUCAUCUAAAGCUAAAUACGGGCACGAGACCGAUAGCGAACAAGUACCGUGAGGGAAAGAUGAAAAGCACUUUGAAAAGAGAGUUAAAUAGCACGUGAAGCCGUUAAAAUGGAAACGAUUGAAGUCAGCAGUGCUUGCCUGGUAAUCAAUCUAUGCAUAUGUAGGAGUGGUGGCUGUGGGAGGGCAACCCCCCGGUUAUUACUGUCUGCGUGUGUGUGGGUGCACUUGCUGGGUGAGCGGGUCAGCAUCGGUUUGACUGGGUGGGGUAAGGCAAGUCGGAAGGUAGCUCUUGACCGAGUGUUAAGCCGGCUUGCUGAGACACCUGUUAGACCGAGGUAGUUUGCAGCGUUGCCUCUGGCUGGGGGGCGGCUAUCAUGGUGUUUGUCGCGACUGGUUACUGUUUCACGACACGUGGCUGGAUACGGCAGGUGCUAGAGGUGGUCGUUCAUCACACCGACGCUUCAGAUGUUGACGAAAUGGCUUUAACCGACCCGUCUUGAAACACGGACCAAGGAGUCUAACAUAUGCGCGAGUCUUAGGGUGGCAAACCCGGGAGGCGAAAUGAAAGUAAAGGCAGGUUCGGCCUGCUGAGGUGAGAGCCCGCAAGGGCGCAUCAUCGACCGAUCUGGAUUUCUUUUGAAAGAUUUGAGUAAGAGCGUAUCUGUUGGGACCCGAAAGAUGGUGAACUAUGCCUGAAUAGGGUGAAGCCAGAGGAAACUCUGGUGGAGGCUCGUAGAGGUUCUGACGUGCAAAUCGAUCUUCAAAUUUGGGUAUAGGGGCGAAAGACUAAUCGAACCAUCUAGUAGCUGGUUCCCAC
rnacentral:misc_RNA from 1 species